UACCUUUGUGUUUGAGGGUGUUAACCAUUUAUGGAAUAUAUUUAAAUACCCAUUUGAAGGUUUUGGGUUCAUAAUUUUGCAGUUUCUAAUUUAAAUCAUGGCCAUUGUGAAUAGUAGAGCUAGAUGCCAUCACAGGGCUCAUCAAGUGAUCUUCUGAGGAGAUGCUGUCUUGCUUGACAUGAAAGAGAGCCUCCACUUUUAUUAACAAAUUGAUAAGUUAAAACAAUUUUUUGCACUAUUUUUCUUUGGAAAACAGCUCAAUCAAUUGUAUAUAUUUAAUAUUUCCAAAGCUAAUGUGAAAUUUUACAUUUGAAAUUAUUUUUUUAUUUUGGGAAGUGAUGGCAGCAUAGUUUUUUGUACUACAGAUAUUGUAGAAAAAAACUGCAAGGCCAUGACUUUGGUUUAAUGUGCCCUGAGAUGACAUAUGUUGUGAUUUAGUGCUAAAUAAAAUUGAAUUCAUACUGACUACUGCCCAGUCAUAACUACAUAUAACUUGCUGCAUGUUCCAGUUUUGCUAAAGCUGCAUUUUUUUUUUAUUUACAUUACAUGUUUCAUCAAUUCAUUUGAACAUGUUUAAAAUUUACAGUUUUGUUUUCAGCAGCGGCGGAAACUCGUCCUGAAUAAUGUCCUGGACAUCACAUUCCUUUUGCUAUUUACAUGAUUUUCUUUGGAUUCCAGUGUGUAGUAAACAUGCUAGGUAACUGAAGAACAAACACAUGAAACAUUUUGUGUCCAUCACAUGGGAA